AGGUAUUAUCAACUCUUAAAACUCCAUGUUUGUUUGGUAAAUUUUUGAUGUUUAUCUGAUAGAUUGAGAUAAUUUGAAAUCUGAGUUUAUUUUUUGGAUUUUUAUUGUGAUAAUUUGAACCAACUUUGGGAUGCAUAAAACUUAGGCCGAUUAGUAACAACUGAAUGUAUUAUGAUGAAAAUACUCGUUCAGGCAGGCAUUUCUAAGAACAGUUUGAGCCCGACUCUCAAACUGGUGAUUUAGAGAGAACAUUGUUGAGUUUGAUUCUUGCUUCUCAGGUCUCCUUCCCUGAAAAACGCAACACAUCAUUCUGAAACAACACACAUUCAAUCCCAACCAUUCAUCGAGUUAAACAACAGAAACAAGCUUUCUCUUUCCUAACUUCUUGACAUCAAUCUUGAGUUUCUCUCAAUGUAAACAGAAAUACAACAGGAACCCAUCUUAUGAUUGAAUAAGUCCCAUCUUAUGUGAAAGUAAUUUCAUAAUCUGAUAAGAUAGUUGAAUCUUUAAGAAUUUUUGAUGAGUUUAAGGUCUUAAUCAUAUUGGUAAAUUAAUUUUGGGAUUUGCUAAUUUUUGGAAUGAGCUGGUUGUUUUGUCAUUGUUAAGCUUUUCUGAGGUUAGAUGGAUACAAUUUGGAUGCAGAAGGGUAGAUGCCACCCUGACUAUUUCCGUGGCUGCGGUGAAUUUAUAAAUUUUGCUUGGUCUCAUCGUACACCUGAUUUAGAUGAGAGUAUUUUUUUCCCUUGUUUGAGAUGCAAUAAUUUUGAUUGGUCUCAUCAUACAAAUUAAUUAUCCUAGUCAUGUUCCUAAGUCGGUCUUGGUUCCCCAAAAAUUAGUUGUAAUAGUAACGCUAGAAAUAAGAGAAAAACCUUUCUUAAAGAAAUUUUUACAAAUUUAUCAUGUAGUGUAACAUAAGAUUCCCAUCCUUCAAAAGAGGAAUUGGCAGCAUAGAUUUAUAGAUUAGAACUGCAUGGUUAUCGUUGCACCAUGGUGGCCUUAUAUGCCUCUGGACCUUUAAGUUGGGAGCAGGAAGAACUAGUGACAAAUAUUCGUCUUACUCUCAACAUUUCUAAUGAUGAGCAUUUAAUGGAGCUAAAGAAUUUAGUUUCAGCUUAAUCUUGCAUUCGAAUUAGUUGACAGGUAAACAUAUUCAGGUUCGGACUUUAUUUUUGUACUUCUAUCUUUUCCCUUUUGAUAAGUUAGGUCAUUUUACUUUAUUGGUGUUACUUAAUUGUAAGAUGCUGAAUGUGUUUUACAAAUUGUUGCUCCUGAUCGAUUAUUCAGUUGCAGUGAUUUACAGAAAGAAUUAGUGUAUCAUAAAAACUAUGUUAAAGCAAUGAAGUGUUGCAUGCCCAAUUCAUCCUGAUAUGGUGAUAUUGUCCUAUUCAUUUUUCUUUAUUUAUUUGGUGGUUGUAUUUUGGAUUGCGGAAUAUUUAGCAUAAUAGCAGUUGUUAUGAGGUCACUGUCAUACUGAGAAAUGAAAGAAAAGUAUUAUAUGGAUGCCUUUUUCCUGCCUACCUUUCCUGUUUACACAUUUUUUUCCCCAAUAUAGAGAUUGUGCUAUGUAAAGUGAUCAGUUUUCAAAUAAAUGGCGUUUUUAUAUUUGAUUAAUACAUUAACAGCAAAAUCCAUCUCUAUUUUGGUUGUUGUUAAAGUUCAUACCAAACUAUAUUCCCCUAUUUUUCGGAAUGGUGUAUGAUGAUGCGUAAACUAUGGUUCUUAUGCAUGACCCACCCUCCUGAUUCUGUUGCCAUUUACCCUUUUUUUUUUAAUGAUAUCAUGUGUGAUUGUUCACUUGCCUUAAUGUUCUGAGGUACAAUCAGCUUAACAUCCUAUUGAGCAUCUGUACAUAUUCAUACUUGGAUAGGAGAGGGAUGGCUUCUUUUGCUGUGUUAGAAUUCAGGUGCUUCAGUUUUGUUAGUAUACAUCAGUACUUUGGAACACUCAAUGAUGUUGUUUACGGAGAUGUAUUUGCUUAGUUUUAGUGUUGCUGCUCAAAACUCACUCUUUUAUUAUUUCUUGCUUAAGUAUUAUGUAUGAGCUCCUUGAAUAGAUGUGGACAUUACAAAUUAGCAUAUUCCAACAGUCCUCUCUUAGAUUCUAAUCUGAGUGUUCUUAUGAUAUAUGAUUAUAUAGGAAACCUUUUUAUUUUUGUUCAGGAUGGAAUAUCAACAAAAUGUGGAGCAAGGAGAGCAUUCCAAUUCCGAAACUACUGGCGAUUUUUUUUUUCUGGAUACUGUUAUGUUUAGAUGUAUUUUUAGAUAACCGUGUACAAAAUGCUUACGUUACUCUCUAAGCAGUUGAUGUCCUUCGAGAGAGAAAGGUGUGAGGUGAUACCACUUUUGCAUCUUUCAUUGGAAAGAACAAAGAGGAAAAAGAAAGGAAAAUAGUUGAUUGGGAUAUGAAAAAACCAAGUGAAAUAUUCCGGUGUCAUUGGUGUGUUGAUCAAACAAUAUCGUCGUUGGAACUGGGAAAAGCCUUGGGAUUUGCAAGAUGACAACGCUAAGGAUUGGUUGUGGUCCGAAAUUAAGGCAGGAAGGGUAAUUGGAACAUCAAACACUAUAAGCUCAGCAGCGCCAAAGACUUGGGGAGCAUCCUGGCAUAUCAGAGGAGCAAAUUUUUGGACAUUUGCCGUUUUACAGGCUUGGGGAGCAGCCCAGCAGACACGGGCCGACACCUUUCAUACUUUGGAGAGCGCCAAAGACUUGGGGAGCAGCCUGGAAGACCGGAGGAGCAAAUUUUUGGACCUGCGGAGCUGCUUUACUGGCCUGGGGAGCAUCCCAAUAGACAAGCGGAGACCUUUCACACCGUUGGAUCAGCGCCAAAGACCUCAGGAGCUACUCUUUGGACCUGCGGAGCUGCUUUACAUAUCCAGGGACCAACUGAACAGACCUCAAAAUGAUUGAGGUACCUGGGUAACGGGAAUAGACGUCUGGGAUUGGAUACCUAGGUCGCUUGGGAGUUGAUUUAACAUGGACUAGGCCAAGUUUGAAUUAUUAGGUUUCUGUAGUUUUGAUUGUGUAAUUUUUUUUGUUUUCUUAUGGUUAAGUGGGAUUCUGUAUG